rnacentral:rRNA from 2 species
AUCCUGGCUCAGGACGAACGCUGGCGGCGUGCCUAAUACAUGCAAGUCGAGCGGACUUUAAAAGCUUGCUUUUAAAGUUAGCGGCGGACGGGUGAGUAACACGUGGGCAACCUGCCUGUAAGACUGGGAUAACUUCGGGAAACCGGAGCUAAUACCGGAUAAUCCUUUUCCUCUCAUGAGGAAAAGCUGAAAGACGGUUUACGCUGUCACUUACAGAUGGGCCCGCGGCGCAUUAGCUAGUUGGUGAGGUAACGGCUCACCAAGGCGACGAUGCGUAGCCGACCUGAGAGGGUGAUCGGCCACACUGGGACUGAGACACGGCCCAGACUCCUACGGGAGGCAGCAGUAGGGAAUCUUCCGCAAUGGACGAAAGUCUGACGGAGCAACGCCGCGUGAGUGAUGAAGGUUUUCGGAUCGUAAAACUCUGUUGUUAGGGAAGAACAAGUACAAGAGUAACUGCUUGUACCUCGACG